rnacentral:rRNA from 1 species
GGUAACCUGCGGAGGGAUCAUUACACAAAUAUGAAGGCGGGCUGGAACCUCUCGGGGUUACAGCCUUGCUGAAUUAUUCACCCUUGUCUUUUGCGUACUUCUUGUUUCCUUGGUGGGUUCGCCCACCACUAGGACAAACAUAAACCUUUUGUAAUUGCAAUCAGCGUCAGUAACAAAUUAAUAAUUACAACUUUCAACAACGGAUCUCUUGGUUCUGGCAUCGAUGAAGAACGCAGCGAAAUGCGAUAAGUAGUGUGAAUUGCAGAAUUCAGUGAAUCAUCGAAUCUUUGAACGCACAUUGCGCCCUUUGGUAUUCCAAAGGGCAUGCCUGUUCGAGCGUCAUUUGUACCCUCAAGCUUUGCUUGGUGUUGGGCGUCUUGUCUCUAGCUUUGCUGGAGACUCGCCUUAAAGUAAUUGGCAGCCGGCCUACUGGUUUCGGAGCGCAGCACAAGUCGCACUCUCUAUCAGCAAAGGUCUAGCAUCCAUUAAGCCUUUUUUUCAACUUUGACUCGGAUCAAGGUAGGUUUCCAGUUCCCCC